rnacentral:misc_RNA from 1 species
UUUCCGUAGGUGAACCUGCGGAAGGAUCAUUAAUGGGAAAUCAAAUCAAAACAAAUGUUCUGUUGCACUGGGUGUGCUGUGUGGUGGUGGUGUGAGACAUGGAGAUUCAAUCAUUGGAGAUUCAAUCAUUGGAGAUUCAAUCAUUGGAGAUUCAAUCAUUGGAGAUUCAAUCAUUCAAUCUCAAUCAUCGCCACACAACACAACUAUCUAUCACACUCGAUCAACAACAACACACUCACACACAACAGCAAACAACUUUUAACAAUGGAUCUCUUGGCUCUU